UAUCUAAAACUCCUAUGGAACUUCUGUUUUGACGACUGUCUCAACAGACCCAUUAGGAUCAAAACACUGUGACCUUGUGACGAUGGUAGACAUGCUGAAACAAAUAUCUCCAAUAGGAUGUUCCCAUGCCAUCAGAGUGAAAUCACUCAGGAUUUUCAUUUCAUAGGAAAUUUCAACUGUUCAUGUUGUUUUCCAGUUAAAAAUAAUUAAAAUAAUAAUAAUAAGCAGAGGAUUACAGUAUUCCUGGUUUCCAAAGGAAAUUCCAGGCUUCAGCCAGCUUUGAUCAGCAUCUCUGCAGCUGCUGAGUGACACUAAGCCAGUGCCAAGGAGGAUCUGGGACAAGACAUCUUUCAGCCUCAGCUCACCCAACAGCACUGAAGACUGAAAUGAAGAAGCUGGUAGAUUUGAGUGAAGCAAGAAGAAGGCUGGGGUGCAACAUGAGCAGACGGUGGCUCCAUCAGGACCUGGACUGGAGUCUGCAGAAAGUGACCUUGGAUGAUUUGGUACAGAAGUGGAUCUGACUCUUGGUGAUGCCAACGUGGCUGUUCAAGAGUGUUUUUAGAGUGAUGGCCUUUCAAGAUUUAGAAGGCAUUUUGGACCCUGUAGCUGUGACUUCUCUACAUUGCAUUUUGAACAAUUGAUGGGAUCGAGAAGGUUUUAAAGGCAAAAGUUCCUAUGAGUUUAUUCUCUUUAUCUUCCGUGACUCAAAUCAGUUGUGCUGGGCUGACACAGCUGAACCGUGACCUACCAUGCUAAGAUCUCCUGAG
rnacentral:lncRNA from 1 species